CUCAAACUCAGACCUUGCACUUGCCAGGCAGGCAUGGCACCACUGAGCCACAUACCUCGCUGGAGUUGGCCUUCUAAGGAGUUAUCUCCAUUCCACAGAAAAGGCAGCUCUUCCUUCUGAUUCUGAAAUUCCCUGUGCAGACAGCACAACGCCUAUUGGAACCUGAGGAAACGCAGGACCAGGCCCGGGGUUGCGGAAGUGCUGCUCUCCCCCACCGGCCUCAUCUGACCUGGAAGAUGCUAGCAGGUCAACUUCAAGAUUAUUUACUGGUCAUUAUGCAGCUGCCACCUCCCUCCAUCCCCAGAACUUCGUUCUUCCACUCAGAAACUGUUCACAUUGUGCAACAUCUGUCCAGCCCCGCUUUACACUUGUUUAAAAUAAG